AAAAGAUAAAUUUAAUUUUAAUAAAUAUUUAAUUUAUAAAAUAUAUUUAUAUAAAUUAAAUAUAAAUAAAAUAUUUAAAUUAAUUAUAAAUUUUAAAAAAUAUAUUAAUAUUAAAUUUAAUUUAAUAUUUUUAA
rnacentral:tRNA from 1 species